GCCUAUAGAACAGCUGCUGCAGCCCACUGAAAGCUUCAAACCGAGACCCGGGUGCCUGAACCUUCCUUCUGAUAAGCUGCAGAGCAGGGAACACAGGAAGCGGCAUAGUGGAGGAACAGGGCCACAGACUUGGAGCAAAAAUGCCUCAGUUCAAGAUUCCAAUGGAAUAUUUCCUAGCUGGGUGACUAAGGAAAAUCUUGCAGAC
rnacentral:lncRNA from 1 species